rnacentral:rRNA from 1 species
CUGGCUCAGGAUGAACGCUAGCGGCAGGCCUAAUACAUGCAAGUCGAACGGUAUAUUACUUUCGGGUAAUAGAGAGUGGCGAACGGGUGCGUAACGCGUAUGCAACCUACCCUAUACAGGGGGAUAGCCCGGAGAAAUCUGGAUUAAUACCCCAUGGUAUCAUUGAACCGCAUGGUUUGAUGCUUAAAGAUUCAUC